UGUCUAUUCUUUGUUCUCUAUUGUGAAUGUGCUAACAGAAACUACCCACCAGAUAUGGUGAUUCUAAAGUUUUACUUUAAUUCUCAAACCAAGCAGGGAGUGGGAAAAGCUGCCUGCUUUGUAAAGAAAAUCUGAAAUACAGCCAUGUUCAUUCUUUUACAUACUAUCCAGCUUACAGCUGCUUUCAUGUUAUAACAUCAGAGUUGAGUAGCUGCAAUGGAGACUGGAUCUGCAAAGAUCAAUAUAUUUAGUUCUUGCCCUUUAGAGAAAAAAUGUGUUGAGCCUUGCUUUAAUCCAUUGGCAAGCAAACUUUUAAGCAAAUAAAAUGUUUAAAACAUAAUUUUUAAAAGUAAUUUUUGUAUUACAAAAAGUUAAGGCAAAAUGGGUAGAAGUCUUAGGUGAUUGACAUGUUUUAAAAUCCCAUUAAAAAACAAAUUCAGAAAAAUCAUAAAAGUUACUGUCCUCUAAGGGACGAAGCUUUUACUUUGUAGAACAGUGGCUUCCAACUGGGGGAAAUUUUGUCCCCCAGUGGAUAUUUGGAAAUAUUUGCAGACAUUUCACUGUUGUCACAACUAGGGGUCAGGCAGCUACUGGCACCUAGCAGGUAGAGGCCAUGGAUUCUGCUAAAUAGCCUGCAAUGCACAAAGCCUCCCCCAACAAUGAAUUAUUCAGCCUCAAAUGUUAAUAGUGCUGAAGGCGAGAUGGAGGGACACGGUGUAAAACAAGCUGUGUACAUAAUUAAACAGCUCCUUUGGGAUUUGUGAUGGUAUCUAGUGUGGCUUUCAAAACCUUUGACGUGCUGACCUGGCUCUCCAAGGAGAGUCCAAAACACUCAAGUAAGUCAGCCUUCUACUUAUGACUGACUGACAAGUGUAAAAAGCAUAUGGCUGUUUUCCACAAUAAUACAGAUGUUUUUGUUGUCCCUACAUUCCCUCUUCCCAGGGUACAAAUAGUUACACCUUCCCAGGUUCCCCCAUCUCUGCCUGCACCAGAGGCACUGAAACUGCAUCAGGUCAUUAGCCCCUAAAUGCUGCCCCGUGGCUGAAAAUGUCCAGAUAAUGUCCACGUGCUUCUGCCAGCCAUUGCUAGCCAGCAUUUCCCUAAUCAUCACCAUUACAGGCUU
rnacentral:lncRNA from 1 species